rnacentral:rRNA from 1 species
UACAGAGGUCUCAAGCGUUGUUCGGAUUCAUUGGGCGUAAAGGGUGUGUAGGUGGCGCCGUAAGUCGGGUGUGAAAUUUCGGAGCUUAACUCCGAAACUGCAUUCGAUACUGCGGUGCUUGAGGACUGGAGAGGAGACUGGAAUUCAUGGUGCAGCAGUGAAAUGCGUAGAGAUCAUGAGGAAGACCAGUGGCGAAGGCGGGUCUCUGGACAGUUCCUGACACUGAGACACGAAGGCCAGGGGAGCAAACGGG